rnacentral:rRNA from 1 species
UAGGGAAUCUUCCGCAAUGGACGCAAGUCUGACGGAGCAACGCCGCGUGAGUGAAGAAGGUUUUCGGAUCGUAAAACUCUGUUGUUAGAGAAGAACAAGUGCUAGAGUAACUGUUAGCGCCUUGACGGUAUCUAACCAGAAAGCCACGGCUAACUACGUGCCAGCAGCCGCGGUAAUACGUAGGUGGCAAGCGUUGUCCGGAUUUAUUGGGCGUAAAGCGAGCGCAGGCGGUUCCUUAAGUCUGAUGUGAAAGCCCCCGGCUCAACCGGGGAGGGUCAUUGGAAACUGGGGAACUUGAGUGCAGAAGAGGAGAGUGGAAUUCCAUGUGUAGCGGUGAAAUGCGUAGAUAUAUGGAGGAACACCAGUGGUGAAGGCGACUCUCUGGUCUGUAACUGACGCUGAGGCUCGAAAGCGUGGGUAGCAAACAGGAUUAGAUACCCUGGUAGUCCACGCCGUAAACGAUGAGUGCUAAGUGUUGGAGGGUUUCCGCCCUUCAGUGCUGCAGUUAACGCAUUAAGCACUCCGCCUGGGGAGUACGACCGCAAGGUUG